CAAACCCGCCAACCCGCCAACAUGUGUCAUGGGGCUGUGUCGCCUACAAUAAACAUGGAUACUGAUGCUGAUAUAUACAAAUAUACAUUAUAUGAUACAAAUUUAUUAACUUUAGAGUGGUUUCUUCGUCCCAUUCCAUUAUUGCAGAAAAUCGCAAAAAAAACACAAGCACGUCACUAUCGCUGGAGUGUCGGCGGGCAACUGAGCGUGCGCGUGCAAGUCGCCGGCCAUGCCGCCUGAUAUAAGCUCAAACACGAG